AAAUUUCACGUACGUGUUCGGAUGUGAACAUGACGAGUGGGCCGGGCAAGGAUUGCAAUCCUUCGCUCUUGACACGUGGAUAUUUGCGGAGCCAGAAUCGAAUCUCCACCCUUGUAGCCGAUAAUCUCCCUCAUUUUCUUGAGUGUCAUGUGCUCCAUGAGGAUAAAGACGGGCGAAAUCUCGUAGGUGAACAUGUUGGUGUUGGCCGUGGCCGUCAGCCACUCGCCGGCCAUGGAAAUGACGUCAACUCCAUUGGACAGUUGGUUGAAGAAACUACACCCAUCAAGAGACACACAACCCCCCCUCCCUCUUCUGGCAAAGAAAAUCUAUUCUUUGCCCUUCAGAGGAGAUAACACCCAAAUGUUUAUAGAUGCGGAUGAGACCUGUCAUCAACACGGUCCCAGGAGAACCAACCACACCCCCACUAUUUACCAUUUCGGAGCUCUGCCUUCCAUUGUGUUGGCCCCCUGGAGGAGGGAGGGGGGAGAUCAAUCUCCCGAUUUGUGAUCCCUCUUUCUCACUUUACUUGAUCGCAGACUGUACGGGCUGCUCAAGCUGCUGACAUCUCUCUCUCCACCCCUCAGCUUUCAAUAACGUGUUGUACGUCGUCGUCGGCUGUCGCUCACUUCUUUCUUCCAACACUUGAAAUAAAAAAGAAAGAGAAAGAACGCAAGGAGUGAACGGGUCGUGGCAAUCCGCGUGAGACGCUACGCAGCUGCGGGCGUGAGACGGACCGUCUUGAAUGCGGACGUCAAGCGGAAAGACAAAGGAUCAAAAUCUAUUCCACCCACCCACCCCAAAAAGACACACGGAUGGAAAUCUAUCAAUCAGCCGAUUUUGAUCCUUAUAGAUGUGAUGUACUGGUUGGUUCCCGAUUACCAGCGACUGUUUUUGAUCGAUCCGCAAAAAUUCUCUCGCUCCUUUUUAUUUCCGUCGAGCUCCUAGAUGAGAAAACAAGGAGCCAAUCGAAUGGAUAGCAGCUGCUUCCAUCUCUCUCCCCCACCCACCCACCCACCCCAUAUGGAAAAGCGAAGGAGGCCGAAACCACGAAACGCAACUUUUCCAUCAGACGCCCAUUCCUCUUGAAUAUUAUUACAUACGCCAGAGAAAAAGAGUGGAAAUCUUAUUCGAGAGAUAGAGGAGCUGGAAGCAUAUUAAAAUGGCUGCACCGAGAGGCGGCAGAAUAAGCUUCAACUGGAAAUGUCAAACACUCGUGGCCCCCCGAGUUAGUAGUAUUGUAGCAGUGAUUGGAGGAUCGGGUCCGGCGAUAAGAGUCUGAGGGAUAUCAUCCACUUCAUUUCCUCCUGCGAUGUCCAAUUGUUUGGUGGGCGCACACACACAACUGACACGCCAUUUCCACCCACAAGGAUGAAGGGGGGGGGGGAUCCCUCCGUCACAUCCGCCUACACUCCUAUAUCUCGGAUAGGUUUGACAUUUCGGGUUAAACAGCAGCUGCGGUUCGUCACAUAUCCGAAAUAGAAGGUGAGCGUGUCGCGACAAUCGGCCAGGAGCUGGUCGAUGUUCUUGGGCUGGUUGGGCAGAGACAAGUCGAUGAUCUCCAGCAGCUGCUCCGGAUGAUGGAAGUCGAGGAUCUUGCUGGAACGGUCGAACGUCUUGUGCAGGAAAUCCAUCAGGAUCUCCGUCAUCCGGUUGAGGAAUUCCCUCGUCUCCGGCUCGCUAUCACCGACAUGUGGCAGCAAAUCUACAACCACCAGAGAAAGAAAAAUAACUUGGUCCAUCCUCCUCCUCCUCCGUGCUGGAUGCUGACAGAUGCUGCUGGAUACCGUCGGCUGGCUCUGCGCUUGUGCCGCAAAAUCCUUCCCUCAAGAUGUUUGGAAUGGGAGGAGUUUGUGAGUGGAUUCCAACCAGUCACGCCAUCGAGAUCCUCCUCUACCCCCACCCAAGAAAGGCCGCGAGAUGAUGACGACGUCUGCAAUCGACCAAUCCUCUUUUCCAACCUCGUAACAAACAAACAAGAAAGUGAGUCGAAAAUGAAUCCUGGAUCGAAGAAAUUUAUCGGCAUCCCCAAUAAACCCAAUUUUGUAUUUCAGACGACUUUGAUUCAUCACCGACGGUCGUUUCAUUCCUCCCACGUGGGAUCCAAUAAUAACAGACGGGUUAGUAUAGUUUAGAUUUCUCCGUGAUUAAAUGUCGAUCGAUUGAAUAUUGAUAAAUCUCGGGCAUAGAUUUUUAUUCCCGCAUGUUGGAAACGUCGCACAUGUGCGGGGGUGUUGUAUUGUGGAUGCUGUACAAUUUUUAUGACUGGGCCGAUGGGAGGGAGGGUCUAUCUAUAACGUGAGAGAGAAGGAGCUAACAUGCGUGAAACAGCUGGGCGUCAUCGCUCAGGAACAGCAGCAACUCAACCGUUUACAAUAUCACGAUAUCGUAUCUAAAACCUUCGCUACUGCAUUUAAGACUUAUGGAAUUGCGCAGCAGAGAUCACCAGCGUCACCCCUCCCGCGUUACAUAUGGCGAGAGAUUUCAGGGUCCAAAUUCCAGGCACUAAACUAAUUAAUAUUCACGUUAUGGUACAUGGGUCCCUGCUUGUUCAAAUUGUUGAUGAUAUUUCUCUUCCAUUUGGAACCUGUCGUUCAAAUUCUUUUGUUAUUUUCCCCUUCGUUCAGUUGUUGUUUCGUAGAAUAUUCUCGACUGUUUAAUUCGAAUAAUUUUCUUCAUCUUUCUCGUGACGACUACGAACGUCAAGAUGUUAUUGCUGUUGCUGUAAUUGAUGUAUUGCGUCUGUUAAUCAUUUCUCCACGUAUAAGAGGAGGGCGGGAAGG